rnacentral:rRNA from 1 species
UACAGAGGGUGCAAGCGUUGUUCGGAAUUAUUGGGCGUAAAGCGCGUGUAGGCGGCUUUGCAAGUCGGGUGUGAAAGCCCUCGGCUCAACCGAGGAAGUGCGCCCGAAACUGCAGAGCUUGAGUACCGGAGAGGAUGGCGGAAUUCCCCAAGUAGAGGUGAAAUUCGUAGAUAUGGGAAGGAACACCGGUGGCGAAGGCGGCCAUCUGGACGGAUACUGACGCUGAGACGCGAAAGCGUGGGGAGCAAACAGG